UGCAAGCGAAGGGAUUCAACACAUGGUUUAACUUGGUGAAGCUGGUGCAUAGCAGUGAGACUCCUCAAUAUUCAAGGUUGAAGCUGGUGCAUAGCAGUGAGACUCAAGAUUCAAG